CUAGACAUACACUAUAUCUAGAUGCAUAAUAAUAUCUAUGAAUAUAAAAAACUUAAAACAAUCUACAAUUUAGAAUAGAGGGAGUAUGUAUCUAGAAAAGCUAAAAUAAAUAGUAAUUUAGGACGGAAGAAGUAAAUACGUACUACUUGGGUGCGGCGUGAAGUGGCAACCAUUCAACUAGAACUAUAUUUAUAUACCCGUUGAAGAAGAGCUUUGAACAUCUUGAAGAGGUUUCUUACUCAGAGAAUACAGUUUUUUACACUGAAGAAAAUUAUACAAAGCCGUCAAACAAAAUAUCUGGACACGUGCAAGAAAUUAUGGAUUUGGACAUGUGCUGGCCCAAUGCUGAUCGAUUUUACGGUUGAGCGUAAGCUUCAAUUCUUACGGUCGAUCUCUGCUCCUUUUCCGACUCGCCAACAAUCAGCACAUUGUGGGCACCAGGAACCUUAUCCCCCUCGUCAGCCGCACUUGUCUCCCCG
rnacentral:lncRNA from 1 species